UACGAGGGGGGCGAGCGUUGUUCGGAAUUAUUGGGCGUAAAGGGUGCGUAGGCGGUUUGGUAAGUCUUAUGUGAAAUCUAUGGGCUCAACUCAUAGUCUGCAUGAGAAACUGCCGGGCUUGAGUAUGGGAGAGGUGAGUGGAAUUCCUGGUGUAGCGGUGAAAUGCGUAGAUAUCCUAAGGAACACCGGUGGCGAAAGCGGCUCACUGGAUCUCUUCUGACGCUGAGGCACGAAAGCUAGGGUAGCGAACGGG
rnacentral:rRNA from 1 species